rnacentral:tRNA from 1 species
GCGGGUGUGGUGAAACUGCUAGACGCGCUGGAUUCAAAAUCCAGUUCCGAAAGGAGUGUUCGAUUCCGACCACCCGUCCGA